GGGGAAUAUUGGACAAUGGGGGGAACCCUGAUCCAGCCAUGCCGCGUGUGUGAAGAAGGCCUUUUGGUUGUAAAGCACUUUAAGCGAGGAGGAGGCUCCUAUAGAUAAUACCUAUAGUGAGUGGACGUUACUCGCAGAAUAAGCACCGGCUAACUCUGUGCCAGCAGCCGCGGUAAUACAGAGGGUGCGAGCGUUAAUCGGAUUUACUGGGCGUAAAGCGUACGUAGGCGGCUUUUUAAGUCGGAUGUGAAAUCCCUGAGCUUAACUUAGGAAUUGCAUUCGAUACUGGGAAGCUAGAGUAUGGGAGAGGAUGGUAGAAUUCCAGGUGUAGCGGUGAAAUGCGUAGAGAUCUGGAGGAAUACCGAUGGCGAAGGCAGCCAUCUGGCCUAAUACUGACGCUGAGGUACGAAAGCAUGGGGAGCAAAC
rnacentral:rRNA from 1 species